GGAGAGGUGCCGGAGCGGUUGAACGGUCCUGUCUUGAAAACAGGCGGCUCGCAAGAGCCCGUGGGUUCGAAUCCCACCCUCUCCGCCA
rnacentral:tRNA from 1 species